rnacentral:lncRNA from 1 species
GCUUAUUGGUCUAUAUUGCCCUAGCUCCUCAGGAUUCGGCACCUUGGGAAUUAGGACAAUCAAAGUAUCGUUGAUGCUUGCUGGAUUGUCUUCUCCUCUCAAUACCCGCAACACUACAGAAGUCACCUCUUCACCGCAUAACCCCCUGUGACUUUGGUUGAAAUGUGCUGGGAAGCCAUCAGGGCCUGGUGCCUUAGUGGGGAACAUCUGAAGCCCCCUUCUUUAACCUCCUCCACAAAAGGAACCAGUAGCAUAUCAUUCAUCUCAUUUGUAACCUUCCUAGGUACUGUAUCUAGAACCACCUCCAUAUCUCUGAC